rnacentral:rRNA from 1 species
UCCGAACUGAGACCGGCUUUUUGGGAUUCGCUCCACCUUACGGUAUCGCAGCCCUCUGUACCGGCCAUUGUAGCAUGCGUGAAGCCCAAGACAUAAGGGGCAUGAUGAUUUGACGUCAUCCCCACCUUCCUCCGAGUUGACCCCGGCAGUCUCCCAUGAGUCCCCGGCAUAACCCGCUGGCAACAUAGGACGAGGGUUGCGCUCGUUGCGGGACUUAACCCAACAUCUCACGACACGAGCUGACGACAACCAUGCACCACCUGUGUACGAGUGUCCAAAGAGAACCCCGUCUCGGGGGCUUUCUCGUACAUGUCAAGCCUUGGUAAGGUUCUUCGCGUUGCAUCGAAUUAAUCCGCAUGCUCCGCCGCUUGUGCGGGCCCCCGUCAAUUCCUUUGAGUUUUAGCCUUGCGGCCGUACUCCCCAGGCGGGGCACUUAAUGCGUUAGCUGCGGCACGGAACUCGUGGAAUGAGCCCCACACCUAGUGCCCAACGUUUACGGCAUGGACUACCAGGGUAUCUAAUCCUGUUCGCUCCCCAUGCUUUCGCUCCUCAGCGUCAGUUGCGGCCCAGAGACCUGCCUUCGCCAUCGGUGUUCCUCCUGAUAUCUGCGCAUUCCACCGCUACACCAGGAAUUCCAGUCUCCCCUACCGCACUCUAGUCUGCCCGUACCCGAUGCAAGCCCGAGGUUGAGCCUCGGGAUUUCACACCAGACGCGACAGACCGCCUACGAGCUCUUUACGCCCAAUAAUUCCGGACAACGCUUGCGCCCUACGUAUUACCGCGGCUGCUGGCACGUAGUUAGCCGGCGCUUCUUCUGCAGGUACCGUCACUUGCGCUUCUUCCCUGCUGAAAGAGGUUUACAACCCGAAGGCCGUCAUCCCUCACGCGGCGUCGCUGCAUCAGGCUUGCGCCCAUUGUGCAAUAUUCCCCACUGCUGCCUCCCGUAGGAGUCUGGGCCGUGUCUCAGUCCCAGUGUGGCCGGUCGCCCUCUCAGGCCGGCUACCCGUCGACGCCUUGGUAGGCCAUCACCCCACCAACAAGCUGAUAGGUCGCGAGCCCAUCCCCCACCGAAAAACUUUCCAACCCACACCAUGCGAUGCGAGCUCAUAUCCGGUAUUAGACCCCGUUUCCAAGGCUUAUCCCGAAGUGGAGGGCAGGUUGCUCACGUGUUACUCACCCGUUCGCCACUGAUCCACCCAGCAAGCUGGGCUUCACCG